UACGUAGGUGGCAAGCGUUGUCCGGAUUUACUGGGCGUAAAGGGCGUGCAGGCGGUUUGUCUAGUCUAGGGUGAAAGCUCCCGGCUUAACUGGGAGAGGUCCUUGGAUACUGGCAAACUUGAGGGAGGCAGAGGAAAGUGGAAUACUUGGUGUAGCAGUGAAAUGCGUAGAUAUCAAGUGGAACACCAGUGGCGAAGGCGAGUCUCUGGACAUUUCCUGACGCUGAGGCACGAAAGCCAGGGGAGCAAACGGG
rnacentral:rRNA from 1 species